rnacentral:lncRNA from 1 species
UGUCAAUAGGCUUCGAAGCAGAAUAUUUUUUUUUUGUUCCACAACGCCCAAGCUAGAACUGUUAUCCGUAGGUCUCAAGAAAUUGACUUAUCUAGCGCCAGUUGAGUUAGCUCAUUGAUUUAAAUACAAGAAGAAAGGAUCUGAAAGACACUGUUCUAAUAUAAAUUUUUGACCCUAGAAUCCGCAUCACCAAAAAUUCUGUCCCA